AGUGAACGCUGGCGGCGUGCCUAAUACAUGCAAGUCGAACGGAGUGGCGCACGGGUGAGUAAUGUAUAGCUAAUCUGCCCUACACUAGAGGACAACAGUUGGAAACGACUGCUAAUACUCUAUAGUGUCGGAUGAGGCUAUAUUGUAUCAGCUAGUUGGUGAGGUAAUGGCUCACCAAGGGUAUGACGCAUAACUGGUGUGAGAGGAUGAGCAGUCAAACUGGAACUGAGACACGGUGCAGACACAUACGGGAGGGGGCAGUAGGGAGUAUUGCUCAAUGGGGGAUACUCUGAAGCAGCAUCGCCGCGUGGAGGAUGACACUUUGCGUAGAGUAAACUCCGUUUGUUAAGGAAGCGGUACCUAAAGAAUAAGCACCGGCUAACUCCGUGCCAGCAGCCGCGGUAAUAC
rnacentral:rRNA from 1 species